GAAGAAAAGGUCGCCGACUGCUACUAAGAACCUAACAGAACUUUU
rnacentral:sRNA from 1 species